rnacentral:rRNA from 1 species
GACGUAGGGGGCAAGCGUUGUCCGGAUUUAUUGGGCGUAAAGAGCUCGUAGGCGGUUGCGUAAGUCGGAUGUGAAAACUCAGGGCUCAACCCUGAGACGCCAUCCGAUACUGCGCUGACUCGAAUCCAGUAGGGGAGUGUGGAAUUCCUGGUGUAGCGGUGAAAUGCGCAGAUAUCAGGAGGAGCAUCCAUGGCGAAGGCAGCACUCUGGGCUGGUAUUGACGCUGAGGAGCCAAAUCAUGGUUAGCGAACAGC